rnacentral:lncRNA from 1 species
UCCAUCGUCUUCUUCCUUCCUCCCUCUUCUAAUCCCAGAUUUUGACAACAUCACAAGUCAAAACCAAAAUCGUAGAGUUGCUAAGACUUGUUUGUUUGAUUUGAUCUGUAAUUGGAGGAAAGGUUUUGUGAUGAUGGUGUUUGACAUAUAAUGGCUGGGAUUUGUUGCGGUGCACUAAUGGAUUCAAUUACUCGAGCUUUCAAUGGUAAAUGUAAAUUGAUGUUAAUUGAGAUAGAGACUGUUUGCGAAAUUUGAUUUCAUCCUAGCAUCAAUUCGAAAUCUGGAAGUUGUUUCUCAUGUGAAUUAAUGUCACCUCGAGAUUAAAAAAUGAUUUUGGAUUUGAUUCAAAAUUGCGAAAUUCGAAUUUAACAUCAAUUCUAAAUUUGGGUUUUGAUUAACAUCAAUUCACAUGGAGAAGAUUUUACGAAUCCAUGAACUUGUAUAUUGUUAUUUAUUUUUUCAGAAAAAAAUCUGGGAUUUGAAAAGGGAAGAAGGAAGAACAGAAGAAGACGAAAGGAGAUUCAUUUUUUUUUGUUUUUGCUUUUUUUUUUUUAAUUUAGUUAUUGUUAAAACCUUCUAAAUUCAGUAAAAGGUUUAGAUUUUAUUAUUGAUGUUAAAUAAUUACAUUUGGUAUUUAUUUUGGGUUGUGAUAACUUGAAUCGG